rnacentral:rRNA from 1 species
AACGUAGGUUCCGAGCGUUAUCCGGAUUUACUGGGCGUAAAGCGCGUUCAGGCGGUUUGGCAAGUCGGGCAUGAAAUCUCUCGGCUCAACCGGGAGAGGUUGUCCGAUACUGCUGGACUUGAGGGCAGUAGAGGGUGGUGGAAUUCCGGGUGUAGUGGUGAAAUGCGUAGAUAUCCGGAGGAACACCAGUGGCGAAAGCGGCCAGCUGGGCCGUUGCUGACGCUGAGGCGCGACAGCGUGGGGAGCAAACAGG